rnacentral:lncRNA from 1 species
GGGUGUAGGGUAUUUUUGAAAUAAAAAAAAAAUAGUAGAGAAAUGUAAAAUAUUUUUGAAAUAAAUAAAAAUAGUAGAGAGAUAAAAGCACAAUGGGAAGGUGGAGGGAGCAACACUCCGUUAGCACUAGGCAGCAACGUCCAAUCUUCCCACUACAGCGGUCCAAUUUAGUUUAUUGCAUCAGACCAGCAGCUUCUCAUUGUAUGGCAGCAGCGUCCAGCACGUAACAGCCACUACAUUUCUUCCUUGGGCGUUAAUGCCUCCACCUCCCCAAACCCAUCCUCCACCCCCCACUUUUUUUUAACUUUUUAUUAAUUGCAAAACUAACCUUUUUUUAUUUUUCUUUUUUACUUUUUUAACCCUCCUAAUAAAACCCUAAUUUUACUUUACUUUCUUUCACUUUUACUUUCUUCAUCUUUCACUUUCACGACCCGAAGAGCCCCACCUCCCUUUCCCUGCAUUCUCAACCCCACCCCACCUCCCCUUCCCUUUGCAUUCUCAACCCCACCCCACUUCCCCUUCCCUUUGCAUUCUCAACCCCACGCUCCACCUUCUCUGAAAUUUUUCAACUUUUGCAGUCAACUCUUCCUCUGUGGCAGUGCGGCGCGGUGGUGCGGCGUGGUGGUGCGGCACGGUUGUUUCGUUUCAUUUCUGUCGUCUACGAGGUUAGUUUUCGUUGCGCAUUUGUGUUAAUUUCUUGCUUUGUAAAUGUAUAUGAUUUAGUGUUUAAGAUUGCAUUGAUUUAUGCUCUGGUUGUGCACCAUUGUUAGUUUUGUUUGGUUUCAUUUUGGUGCUGUGAUGUUUCUGAUAGAGGUGUCUACGUAGGAGGAAGAAGACAGAACUUAACGGAUGUCCGAUAUCCGUCGACGGAUGUCGACAUCCGUUUAGGGCCAAUUUUUUAUUUUUAUGUUUUUAGUUUAUUUUAUAAGUAAUUAAUUUUUAACUUUUUAUUUUCUUACGUAAUUAUUUUGUUUUAAUUUUUUUUUGUUUUAUUAGUUUAUUGUAUUUUUAAUUAAUUUAUACAGUAUUUAAAU